GCUGGGGCUCAGUGUGGAGCGCCUGCCUGGCACGUGUGAGGCCCUGGGUUCGAGCCCCAGCCCCGCA
rnacentral:tRNA from 1 species